rnacentral:other from 1 species
GCGUUCCUGCGAAGCAGGUACCGGCCUGCCUAUUUUGAUCCAACAGCUCAAAAUAGGGAGUCCGACUCGAUAUUGGCGCUGGUGUGCAAGCUCCCGGCGGGCAACCGCGAGGGAGAAGCCUGAAGGCGCUCGGGGGACACCCACCCCGUUUCCAAACGUGGGUCAAUACCGGGGGCCGGCAACGGCCAAGUGGUGCGCU